rnacentral:rRNA from 1 species
GACCACAACGGGUGGAGCCUGCGGUUUAAUUGGACUCAACGCCGGGCAGCUCACCGGAUAAGACAGCUGGAUGAUAGCCGGGCUGAAGACUCUGCUUGACUAGCUGAGAGGAGGUGCAUGGCCGUCGUCAGUUCGUACUGUGAAGCAUCCUGUUAAGUCAGGCAACGAGCGAGACCCACGCCAACAGUUGCCAGCAUGUCCUUCGGGAUGAUGGGGACACUGUUGGGACCGCCUCUGCUAAAGAGGAGGAAGGAAUGGGCAACGGUAGGUCAGCAUGCCCCGAAUUAUCCGGGCUACACGCGGGCUACAAUGGUCAGGACAAUGGGUAUCGACACCGAGAGGUGGAGGCAAUCUCCUAAACCUGUCCUUAGUUCGGACUGUGGGCUGCAACUCGCCCACAUGAAGCUGGAAUCCGUAGUAAUCGUGUUUCAAAAUAGCACGGUGAAUAUGUCCCCUGCUCCUU